UCUUGUUCAUCCUCAAUGAAAAAACCAAGGGGUUUCUGUAGGAAAAUGGGCUUUAAACCAUACCAAGCCUAGAGUCAAGAGAAAUUUCUGGACUUCAUGAAGGACAUGUCCUGCUUGAGCAGCCUAGUGGCCGUCUAUAAUGGAGUGACUACAGCAGUGGACAAGGGAAGGCCUACAGAUGAUGUUAUCUACCUGGACUGCUGUAAGGCCUUGGACAGUGUCCCCCACAACCUCCUUCUUCCUAAAUUAGAGAGAUGUGGAUUUGAUGGAUGGACUGUUUGGUGGAUGAUGAAUUUGUUGGACAUCCCAUUCCUGAAAACAUUCAAGAGAAUGAGGUCUUACUUGAGGAGCACCUUCUUAAGCUUCUUCACUUGCAUGUCUCUCAAGAGGACACCUGAUUUAUUUUGGAAAGGGCAAGAAAAUCUCAAGACCAGUUUCUUUUCCAAGCAAGGACCAAUGGGCUGGGUGCUGGACACCCCUGAGCACCUGGAGAGCCCUGCUGAAAUGAGAGAAAACAGCGAAGAAUAUCUCAUGUGGGCCAACCAUGAUGACUAUGAAGAGAUUCUGCUGUUUCCCAUGUUCGCUUCAUUCAGUCCCAGAAGAUUUCUUUGAGUGAUAGGAAG